AUGGGCUCCAGUCUCCUCCCCUGGGUGAUGCUUUGCUUCCUGGGAGCAGGCCCCGUGGAGGCAGGAGUCACACAGACGCCAAGACACCUGAUCCAAACAAGAGGGCAGCAAGUGUCGCUGAGAUGUACCCCUCACUCUGGACACAACCGUGUGUUGUGGUACCAACAGGUCCUGGGCCAGGGCCUCCAGUUCCUCUUUGAUUAUUACCAAGGGUCACAGACCUCAAAAGGAAAUGUCUCGGGCAGGUUCUCGGCUCACCAGUUUUCUGACAGGCGCUCUGAAAUGAACGUGAGCGCCUUGGAGCUGCAGGACUCGGCUGUGUACCUCUGUGCCAGCAGCUUGGCACAGCCCCGCGGAGUCCCCAGUGCUCUGUGCACAAACCUCCUCUCCCAGUGUGGAGCAGCCUCAGAGCUGUCACAGAAGUGA